UGGGGAAUUUUGGACAAUGGGCGAAAGCCUGAUCCAGCAAUGCCGCGUGCAGGACGAAGGCCUUCGGGUUGUAAACUGCUUUUGUACGGAACGAAACGGUCUCUUCUAAUAAAGGGGGCUAAUGACGGUACCGUAAGAAUAAGCACCGGCUAACUACGUGCCAGCAGCCGCGGUAAUACGUAGGGUGCGAGCGUUAAUCGGAUUUACUGGGCGUAAAGGGCGCGUAGGCGGUCGAGGAAGUCAGAUGUGAAAUUCCGGGGCUCAACUCCGGAGCUGCAUUUGAGACUUUUUGACUAGAGGGUAGUGAGGGAAAACAGAAUUCCACGUGUAGCGGUGAAAUGCGUAGAUAUGUGGAAGAAUACCGGUGGUGAAGACGGUUUUCUGUGCUAUACCUGACGCUGAGGCGCGAGAGCUAGGGGAGCAAACAGG
rnacentral:rRNA from 1 species